rnacentral:misc_RNA from 1 species
GAUGAAGAACGCAGCGAAAUGCGAUACGUAAUGUGAAUUGCAGAAUUCAGUGAAUCAUCGAGUCUUUGAACGCACAUUGCGCCCUCUGGUAUUCCGGAGGGCAUGCCUGUCCGAGCGUCAUUGCUGCCCUCAAGCACGGCUUGUGUGUUGGGCCCCGCCCCCCGAUCCCGGGGGGCGGGCCCGAAAGGCAGCGGCGGCACCGCGUCCGGUCCUCGAGCGUAUGGGGCUUUGUCACCCGCUCUGUAGGCCCGGCCGGCGCUUGCCGAUCAACCAAACUUUUUUCCAGGUUGACCUCGGAUCAGGUAGGGAUACCCGCUGAACUUAAGCAUAUCAUAAGCGGAGGA